UAUCAAUAAGCGGAGGAAAAGAAACUAACAAGGAUUCCCCUAGUAACUGCGAGUGAAGCGGGAAAAGCUCAAAUUUAAAAUCUGGUGGUCUUUGGCCACUCGAGUUGUAAUUUAGAGAAGCGUCUUCCGCGCUGGACCGUGCACAAGUCUCCUGGAAUGGAGCGUCAUAGAGGGUGAGAAUCCCGUCUUUGGCACGGAAACCCCAGGGCUUUUGUGAUGCGCUCUCGAAGAGUCGAGUUGUUUGGGAAUGCAGCUCAAAAUGGGUGGUGAACUCCAUCUAAAGCUAAAUAUUGGCGAGAGACCGAUAGCGAACAAGUACCGUGAGGGAAAGAUGAAAAGCACUUUGGAAAGAGAGUGAAACAGUACGUGAAAUUGUUGAAAGGGAAACGCUUGAAGUCAGUCGCGUCGACCGAGACUCAGCCUUGCCCUUGGCUUGGUGUACUUCUCGGCUGACGGGUCAGCAUCAAUUUUGCCCCUUGGAUAAUGGCGAGGGAAAUGUGACACCUUUACGGUGUGUUAUAGUCUCUUGUCGCAUGCAAGGGUUGGGAUUGAGGAACUCAGCACGCACCUUUGGGUGUCGGGGCUUUGCCCACGAUACGUGCUUAGGAUGUUGGCGUAAUGGCUUUAAACGACC
rnacentral:rRNA from 1 species